UCUAGCAAUAGACAGUGGCGAACGGCGGAGUAAUACAUAAGCAACGUGCCCUGAAGACCGGGAUAGUCAUUGGAAACGAUGGGUAAUACCGGAUGUGGUCAUCACUCGGCAUCGAGAGAUGAUUAAAUGGUUUUUCGCUUCAGGAGCGGCUUAUGGCCUAUCAGGUAGUUGGUGGGGUAAUGGCCUACCAAGCCGACGACGGGUAGCGGGUCUGAGAGGAUGACCCGCUCGAGUGGGACUGAGACACGGCCCACACACCUACGGGUGGCAGCAGUUGGGAAUCUUGCACAAUGGGGGAAACCCUGAUGCAGCGACGCCGCGUGGAGGAUGACGGGUCUAGGCCUGUAAACUCCUUUUAAUGGGAAAGACUUAGGACGGUACCCAUUGAAUAAGGACCGGCUAACUACGUGCCAGCAGCCGCGGUAAGACGUAGGGUCCAAGCGUUGUCCGGAUUUACUGGGCGUAAAGAGCGCGUAGGCGGUCUGUUAAGUGUGAAGUGAAAUCUCCAGGGCUCAACCCGGAAACUGCUUCGCAUACUGGCAGACUGGAGGGAUGCAGAGGUUUGUGGAAUUCCUGGUGUAGCGGUGAAAUGCAUAGAUAUCAGGAGGAACACCCAUGGCGAAGGCAGCAAACUGGGCAUCAUCUGACGCUGAGGCGCGAAAGCGUGGGUAGCAAACAGGAUUAGAUACCCUGGUAGUCCACGCCCUAAACUAUGGAUACUAGGCGUAAGAGGUAUCGACCCCUCUUGUGCCGCAGCUAACGCAUUAAGUAUCCCGCCUGGGGAGUACGGCCGCAAGGUUGAAACUCAAAUG
rnacentral:rRNA from 1 species